AUUGAACGCUGGCGGCAGGCCUAACACAUGCAAGUCGAGCGGCAGCGGGAAAGUAGCUUGCUACUUUUGCCGGCGAGCGGCGGACGGGUGAGUAAUGCCUGGGAAAUUGCCCAGUCGAGGGGGAUAACAGUUGGAAACGACUGCUAAUACCGCAUACGCCCUACGGGGGAAAGCAGGGGACCUUCGGGCCUUGCGCGAUUGGAUAUGCCCAGGUGGGAUUAGCUAGUUGGUGAGGUAAUGGCUCACCAAGGCGACGAUCCCUAGCUGGUCUGAGAAGAUGAUGAGCCACACUGGAACUGAGACCCGGUCCAGACUCCUACGGGAGGCAGCAGUGGGGAAUAUUGCACAAUGGGGGAAACCCUGAUGCAGCCAUGCCGCGUGUGUGAAGAAGGCCUUCGGGUUGUAAAGCACUUUCAGCGAGGAGGAAAGGUUGAUGCCUAAUACGUAUCAACUGUGACGUUACUCGCAGAAGAAGCACCGGCUAACUCCGUGCCAGCAGCCGCCGCCG
rnacentral:rRNA from 1 species